GGGUGUAGAAUAAGUGGGAGCUUCGGCNACUUUGAAAUACCACUACCUUUAUUGUUUUUUUACUUAUUCAAUGAGGCGGAGCUGGGAUUAAUAGUCCCACCUUUUGGCUUCAAGGUCUUUCACAGGCCGAUCCGGGUUGA
rnacentral:rRNA from 1 species